rnacentral:rRNA from 1 species
GAUGAACGCUGGCGGCGUGCUUAACACAUGCAAGUCGAACGAAGCACUUUAUUUGAUUUCCUUCGGGACUGAUUAUUUUGUGACUGAGUGGCGGACGGGUGAGUAACGCGUGGGUAACCUGCCUUGUACAGGGGGAUAACAGUUGGAAACGGCUGCUAAUACCGCAUAAGCGCCCAGCAUCGCAUGAUGCAGUGUGAAAACUUCCGGUGGUAUAGGAUGUACCCGCGUUGGAUUAGCUAGUUGGUGAGGUCACGGGCCACCAAGGCGACAAUCCAUAGCAGAGCUGGGAGAGUGGCCGGACACAUUGGGGCUGGGACACAGCCGAAACUCCUACGGGAGGCAGGAGAGGGUAAUAUUGCACAAUGGGCGGAGGCAUGAAGCAGCGACGCCGCGUAAGCGAAGAAGUAUGGCGGGAUGUAAAGCUCUAUCAGCAGGGAAGAUAAUGACGGUACCUGACUAAGAAGCACCGGCUAAAUACGUG